rnacentral:rRNA from 1 species
GACGAACGCUGGCGGCGUGCUUAACACAUGCAAGUCGAACGGUGAAGUAGAGCUUGCUCUAUGGAUCAGUGGCGAACGGGUGAGUAACACGUGGGCAACCUGCCCCAGACUCUGGGAUAACUCCUCGAAAGAGGGGCUAAUACCGGAUAUUUGCAUUGCAAGACAUCUUGUGAUGCAGAAAGAAUUUCGGUCUGGGAUGGGCCCGCGGCCUAUCAGCUGGUUGGUGAGGUAACGGCUCACCAAGGCGACGACGGGUAGCCGGCCUGAGAGGGCGCCCGGCCACACUGGGACUGAGACACGGCCCAGACUCCUACGGGAGGCAGCAGUGGGGAAUAUUGGGCAAUGGGCGCAAGCCUGACCCAGCAACGCCGCGUGAGGGAUGAAGGUCCUCGGAUUGUAAACCUCUUUCAGCAGGGACGAAGCGAAAGUGACGGUACCUGCAGAAGAAGCACCGGCUAACUACGUGCCAGCCGCCGCCGUAA